GAGUUUGAUCUUGGCUCAGAUUGAACGCUGGCGGCAUGCCUUACACAUGCAAGUCGAACGGCAGCACGGGAGCUUGCUCCUGGUGGGCGAGUGGCGAACGGGUGAGUAAUGCAUCGGAACGUAUCCUGGAGUGGGGGAUAACGUAGCGAAAGUUACGCUAAUACCGCAUAUUCUGUGAGCAGGAAAGCGGGGGACCUUCGGGCCUCGCGCUCUUGGAGCGGCCGAUGUCGGAUUAGCUAGUUGGUGAGGUAAAGGCUCACCAAGGCGACGAUCCGUAGCAGGUCUGAGAGGAUGAUCUGCCACACUGGAACUGAGACACGGUCCAGACUCCUACGGGAGGCAGCAGUGGGGAAUUUUGGACAAUGGGGGCAACCCUGAUCCAGCCAUGCCGCGUGAGUGAAGAAGGCCU
rnacentral:rRNA from 1 species